CCUACGGGGGGCUGCAGUGGGGAAUAUUGGACAAUGGGCGCAAGCCUGAUCCAGCCAUACCGCGUGGGUGAAGAAGGCCUUCGGGUUGUAAAGCCCUUUUUGAAGACUUACGGUACCCAAAGAAUAAGCACCGGCUAACUUCGUGCCAGCAGCCGCGGUAAUACGAAGGGUGCAAGCGUUACUCGGAAUUACUGGGCGUAAAGCGUGCGUAGGUGGUGGUUUAAGUCUGCUGUGAAAGCCCUGGGCUCAACCUGGGAAUUGCAGUGGAUACUGGAUCACUAGAGUGUGGUAGAGGGAUGCGGAAUUUCUGGUGUAGCAGUGAAAUGCGUAGAGAUCAGAAGGAACAUCCGUGGCGAAGGCGGCAUCCUGGGCCAAACUGACACUGAGGCACGAAAGCGUGGGGAGCAAACAGGAUUAGAUACCCUUGUAGUC
rnacentral:rRNA from 1 species